AUGUCACACAAGAUAGGCUUGCUAACGCAAAGGGACGUAACUCGAGUUUCUCUAUUUUUAUGUGUCUCUGACGUCAUGCACAUUUUUGACAUCGAGGGUGGUUGUCUUUUACGGCUUAUUUCUAAAUUAAUAUGAACGAAGUGUUCCGAAUAACUAUGGAACUAUUUUAAGAAAUGUUCCCGCCACAUGCCUUUAGCUAGAAAGACCGUAAAGCACAUGUUACAAGGAAAAAACCAGAGGGAGAAAGUGAACGACAUACUAGUAGGUACUUGGAAAAGAUUUUUCAUGGAACCCGAAUGGUACUACAGACAACAUUAAUACUGUUCCCUGUUAAUUUUGGAAGACACUGAGCAAAACAACCAAGUAAAUGUCAGAAAAGCCUGUCGACCAGACCAGCGGAUCAUAAUAAUUAAUUUGUUAAUUAAGAAAUAAAAGUUUUUUGUUGAAAAAUUCUCA